UUGAGUCUCGUAGAGGGGGGUAGAAUUCCAGGUGUAGCGGUGAAAUGCGUAGAGAUCUGGAGGAAUACCGGUGGCGAAGGCGGCCCCCUGGACGAAGACUGACGCUCAGGUGCGAAAGCGUGGGGAGCAAACAGGAUUAGAUACCCUGGUAGUCCACGCCGUAAACGAUGUCGACUUGGAGGUUGUGCCCUUGAGGCGUGGCUUCCGGAGCUAACGCGUUAAGUCGACCGCCUGGGGAGUACGGCCGCAAGGUUAAAACUCAAAUGAAUUGACGGGGGCCCGCACAAGCGGUGGAGCAUGUGGUUU
rnacentral:rRNA from 1 species